rnacentral:misc_RNA from 1 species
UCCGGUUUGUCACCGGCAGUCUCCCUAGAGUGCCCUUGCGUAGCAAUUAACGACAAGGGUUGCGCUCGUUGCGGGACUUAACCCAACAUCUCACGACACGAGCUGACGACAGCCAUGCAGCACCUGUCUCUAGGCUCCUUGCGGCACUCCCGCAUCUCUGCAGGAUUCCUAGGAUGUCAAGACCAGGUAAGGUUCUUCGCGUUGCAUCGAAUUAAACCACAUGCUCCACCGCUUGUGCAGGCCCCCGUCAAUUUCUUUGAGUUUUAACCUUGCGGCCGUACUCCCCAGGCGGAUAACUUAAUGCGUUAGCUGCGCCACCAAAAGCCCAUGGCCCCUGACAGCUAGUUAUCAUCGUUUACGGCGUGGACUAC